GGACUGAAAUUGCUUCGUUUUCCCCUAGAACAGUGGGACCGCUUCUCUCCGUGUGGCCCGAGCACCUCCCAGACCCUACUCUGCUCCUGGGGAUUCGCCCUUCCCACCAGAGCACCGCCAG